rnacentral:rRNA from 1 species
AUUGAACGCUGGCGGCAUGCUUUACACAUGCAAGUCGAACGGCAGCACGGGCUUCGGCCUGGUGGCGAGUGGCGAACGGGUGAGUAAUGCAUCGGAACGUGCCCAUUUGUGGGGGAUAACUACGCGAAAGCGUGGCUAAUACCGCAUACGCCCUGAGGGGGAAAGCGGGGGAUUCUUCGGAACCUCGCGCAAUUGGAGCGGCCGAUGUCAGAUUAGCUUGUUGGUGAGGUAAAGGCUCACCAAGGCGACGAUCUGUAGCGGGUCUGAGAGGAUGAUCCGCCACACUGGGACUGAGACACGGCCCAGACUCCUACGGGGGGCAGCAGUGGGGAAUUUUGGACAAUGGGGGCAACCCUGAUCCAGCCAUGCCGCGUGAGUGAAGAAGGCCUUCGGGUUGUAAAGCUCUUUCAGCCGGGAAAAAUCGCAUCAGUUAAUACCUGGUGUGGAUGAUGGUACCGGAAUAAGAAGCACCGGCUAACUACGUGCCAGCAGACCG